rnacentral:tRNA from 1 species
GCGUUCUUAGUUCAAUUCGAUAGAACAUAAGUCUCCAAAAUCCGAUGUUGUAGGUUUAAAUCAUACACAAUGUG